GUGCCGGUGGCCGGGAUGGUGGGGCGCGCCGGAUCGGCGCGGACCCUCGGGGAACGAUGUCAGACCUCGGAUCAUUCCCGGCCGGCGUG
rnacentral:tRNA from 1 species